AGAGUUUGAUCCUGGCUCAGAGCGAACGCUGGCGGCAGGCUUAACACAUGCAAGUCGAGCGGGCCCUUCGGGGUCAGCGGCGGACGGGUGAGUAACGCGUGGGAACGUGCCCUCUGGUUCGGAAUAACCCUGGGAAACUAGGGCUAAUACCGGAUACGCCCGCGGUCUUUGGUGACUGUGGGGAAAGGCUUGCUGCCGGAGGAUCGGCCCGCGUCUGAUUAGCUAGUUGGUGGGGUAACGGCCUACCAAGGCGACGAUCAGUAGCUGGUCUGAGAGGAUGAUCAGCCACACUGGGACUGAGACACGGCCCAGACUCCUACGGGAGGCAGCAGUGGGGAAUAUUGGACAAUGGGCGCAAGCCUGAUCCAGCCAUGCCGCGUGAGUGAUGAAGGCCUUAGGGUUGUAAAGCUCUUUUAUCCGGGACGAUA
rnacentral:rRNA from 1 species